GAGACCCCGGGGGGAGGAGGCAGCGCCACCGCCGUCGCCUCCCCGCCUCGGGGCACGAAAGGUGGGACAUCCCCUCGCCGCCCUUCCCGCUUCUGCUCCCGCCCGCCAGUUUAAGCCCCUCUUUCACAGAGCGGCGGCUGCCCACCAGCUCGGAUCGAGGUCAAGAAAUACUCAGUGGAAUUUCAUCUGUGGCAAAUCCUCUCGCAGAGCUUACAGUCUACUGAUGAGCAGGGGCAAAGACAAAACGCUUGUUUACCAAGUCUGAGGAAUGAGGUCUCACUGGAGGUUUUUCCUGGUGUUUUAAACCAUUGCAGAAGCUCAUCUUGAGCCAAGAAUGCAGUAACAUCACAUUAGAAAUCAUGGGAAGAGCCCACCAAGAGGAAUGUAGAGAAAAUGGAUUAAUUUGGCUGUGUAUUAAUCUGCUAUGUAGGAAGCCAACAAGCUAGGGUUCUCCAGCUAAUACUGCAGCUGUCUGGGGGCUAGGAGAGAGGUAGGCUGGGCUGGCAGUGGACCAAGGAAGACCCUGCCGAAAUGCAGGAAACCAAAGUGCAAGUCCCUGUUUUAGUCUGGUUUGAGGCAACCCUGGCUUAAGGAAUGUAGUGUCAUCGGUGGUGAGUGUUACAGCAGUGGUCGGAUCCGGAUCUGCCCUACUCCAGUAAACGUGUCUCAUUGCCAUGAAGCUGCUUUGGAAAAACAUGAUACUGUGGACACCUCUGCCUGUACAAAAACAACCUUCAACUUUGACAUUCUUCAUCAUACCAAGUUUAUUUUUCUUAAUGAGGCCCUGCGUUCAUUUAUAUAGUUCCCCACACCCUAUUCACAUGCAGACAACCCCUUGCCUCUUCUACGCUCUUUCUGAGCUGCCUUCAAGCAAAGUUUGCCAUGUCUCAGCAUGGUGGUAUUUAGCAUGAUGUAAGACAAAUACACCUCUGUCCUACUCAAACUCUUGGUUUUUUACUGAGUUAUUUAAAUGGGAAGUGAGGAAGUGUAAGUAAGGAAGAUGUUACAUUCACAAGUGGCACUGCUAUCAUCUGCAUUGUUCUGCUACCUGGUAUCUUCCUUCAGGAUGCUGUCUGCCAGACACUGGGCCUCAAUUUCUCCAGUUUUACAGAGACCACAGUCUUACAAGCACUUGCAUGUACCCCUACACUCAGUAUUAUGGGAUUACUUACCACAAAGUUGAGUACUCAUGAAGGUGCAUGCUCAAGCAGGCUUCAAAUGCCCUGUCUCAAAUGUUACACAACCAUAGAGAUGGGAGUGGAAUUUAAUACAGGCUAUUUCUCAAUGGAUAGUGCUAUAUCCAGUCUUUUGGUUUAUCUGCCUUUUGCUCUAAGGGUUCAUGAGAACUUGUCCUGGUUCUGGCUGGGAUAGUUAAUUUCCUUCAGAGUAGCUAGGAUGGGGCUGUGUUUUGGAUUUAAUGUGAGAAUAAUGUUGAUCACACACUGAUGUUCUCAUUGUUGCUAGGUAGUGCUUACACUAGUCAAGGACUUUUUCAGCUUCCCAUGCUCUGCCAGGGGCACAAGAAGCUGGGAUGGGACACAGCCAGGACAGUUGACCCCAACUGACCCAAGGGACAUCCCACACCAUGUGACGUCAUGCUCAGCAUAUAAAACUGGGGGAAGAAGAAGGGAAGGGGGGGAUAUUUGCAGUGAUGGCGUUUGUCUUCCCAAGCAACUGUUACGCGUGAUGGAGCCCUGCUUUCCUGGACAUGGCUGAACACCUGCCUGCCCAUGGGAAAGAGUGAACAAAUUCCUUGUUUUGCUUUGCUUCUGUGCGCAGCUUUUGCUUUACCUAUUAAACUGUCUUUACCUCAACCCACAAGUUUCUCACUUUUACUAUUUUGAUUCUCUCCUCCAUCCCACUGCAGAGGGGGAAGUGAGCGAGCGGCUGCGUGGGGCUUAGUUGCCAACUGGGGUUAAACCACAACAGAACUUCAGGGUGAGGUCUUUUUUGUGUUUUCCAGAAGAAGAGCUGCUAAUUAUUGCUCUGUUGAACCUUGUUCAAAAGCUGCAUCACACUGCCCAUACCACUUGCCACCAGUUACCAAAUCACUGGGGUAACUCCAGCAGCUGAGCUGACAAACAGGCUAGCUGGGAGUACUCCACAAUAACAGACACUCAAGAGCUCUGAUGCAUUUUGAGUGUCUUUUUCAACCCUUAUCAGCUUGGAGCAGCUUUUGUUUUACUGUGUUCCUUGGAGGUCCCAUUUAAAUCACAUACAUGGGCCUGGCAUACUGUCUGUCAGCUGUCCUUGUAAAUCUGUGAUCAGGGUCCCACAUAGCUGCAGAGAUGAUGACUGGCCUGUUAGCUAAGGUUCAGAGACACCAAAGAGCUUUGUGUGUACAAUUUGACCUGGGGUUUGAAGGUUAUGUCCCCUGUUCAAGCACCAACAUAAGUGGUCGGUUUUCCCAAACCUUUGAUAUCACUGUCUAGUGCUUUUCCUGCCAAAGAAACAAUUUCCUUGUGAUAGAAUAAAUACUGCAGAUUUCAACCUGAGUUAUUCUCGUAAUGCUCUGGAUUAUGAAUGAGACCCAAAGGUGCAUAAACCGAACAACAAUUUAUUUUCUGAAUGUUCCCAUUCCUUUCCUCAAAGAGACUUGUUCCUAUCCAAGCAUAGAAAGAAUAAUAAUAAUAAAAAGGUAAGAAAUAGUUUCUCCUGUUGGCGAAUUGGUGCCUACUUACUCUGUUUUCUGAAAUCACUGUGCAGUGAGACAAUGAAUCCCAAAGCAUGAAAUCCUGCGUUGGUGGGUGAGGAAGCAGCCUGUGUUGUGUAAGCAAAGGGGCAAAGCAGCGUUUUAAAGAAAGGUCAUGAGCCCUCAGAGCAGCCUCAGCUGAGCUAGAUGGAGGCAGCAGCGGUGGUGUGUUACGGACAUACGGGGUGCACGUAUGGGAGGAAGAUGUUUC